CAGUCGCCACGGUAAAACGGAGGGGGCUAGCGUUGUUCGGAAUUACUGGGCGUAAAGCGCACGUAGGCUGCUUUGUAAGUUAGAGGUGAAAGCCUGGUGCUCAACACCAGAACUGCCUUUAAGACCGCAGAGCUAGAACGUCGGAGAGGUGAGUGGAAUUCCGAGUGUAGAGGUGAAAUUCGUAGAUAUUCGGAAGAACACCAGUGGCGAAGGCGGCUCACUGGACGACUGUUGACGCUGAGGUGCGAAAGCGUGGGGAGCAAACAGGAUUAGAUACCCCUGUAGUCCCUGUCUCUUAUAC
rnacentral:rRNA from 1 species